CCUACGGGUGGCUGCAGUGGGGAAUAUUGGACAAUGGGGGGAACCCUGAUCCAGCCAUGCCGCGUGUGUGAAGAAGGCCCUCGGGUUGUAAAGCACUUUCAGUGAGGAAGAACGCCUGGUGGUUAAUACCCAUCAGGAAAGACAUCACUCACAGAAGAAGCACCGGCUAACCCCGUGCCAGCAGCCGCGGUAAUACGGAGGGUGCGAGCGUUAAUCGGAAUUACUGGGCGUAAAGCGCGCGUAGGUGGCUUGAUAAGCCGGUUGUGAAAGCCCCGGGCUCAACCUGGGAACGGCAUCCGGAACUGUCAAGGUAGAGUGCAGGAGAGGAAGGUAGAAUUCCCGGUGUAGCGGUGAAAUGCGUAGAGAUCGGGAGGAAUACCAGUGGCGAAGGCGGCCUUCUGGACUGACACUGACACUGAGGUGCGAAGGCGUGGGUAGCAAACAGGAUUAGAUACCCUAGUAGUC
rnacentral:rRNA from 1 species